rnacentral:rRNA from 1 species
AUACGGAAGGUCCGGGCGUUAUCCGGAUUUAUUGGGUUUAAAGGGAGCGCAGGCGGAGAUGCAAGCGUGACGUCAAAUUUCGGGGCUCAACCCCGUCUCGCGUCGCGAACUGCGUCCCUUGGUUGCGGGAAGGGGAGGCGGAACUCGGGGUGGAGCGGGGAAAUGCAUAGAUAUCACGAAGAACUCCGAUCGCGAAGGCAGCCUUCCGGCCCGUCAACGACGCUCAUGCUCGAAGGUGCGGGUAUCAAACAGGAUUAGAUACCCUGGUAGUCCGCACAGUAAACGAUGGACACCCGCGGUUUGGCCUGUAUGGCUGAGCCGCCAAGCGAAAGCGUUAAGUGUCCCACCUGGGGAGUACGCCGGCAACGGUGAAACUUAAAGGAAUUGACGGGG